UGGGGAAUUUUGCGCAAUGGGCGAAAGCCUGACGCAGCAACGCCGCGUGGAGGAUGAAGGUCCUUGGAUUGUAAACUCCUGUCAGCGGGGAAAAAGGGACUUGACCUCAUACGUCGAGAACUUGAUUGUACCCGCAGAGGAAGCCCCGGCUAACUCUGUGCCAGCAGCCGCGGUAAUACAGAGGGGGCAAGCGUUAUUCGGAAUUAUUGGGCGUAAAGGGCGCGUAGGCGGCUUUGCAAGUGACGGGUGAAAUCCCACGGCUUAACCGUGGAACUGCCUGUCAGACUGCAUGGCUUGAGACCAGGAGAGGUGAGUGGAAUUCCCAGUGUAGCGGUGAAAUGCGUAGAUAUUGGGAGGAACACCAGUGGCGAAGGCGGCUCACUGGACUGGUACUGACGCUGAGGCGCGAAAGCGUGGGGAGCAAACAG
rnacentral:rRNA from 1 species